ACGUAGUUCAUUGUCCUGGUAACUGUCAGGUGUGCUGCAGUUCCACCCAAUCACCGUGGGAGACUGCCACAUAAAGGCGGGCGUAAAGCACCUGUCAGCCCCUUGCUUGCUGGAGGCUGGGUCGCGUCACUCCUGUGCUUCCUCCAUUUCCGCGUUCGUGUGGUUACAGGUGGGCUGCCGGCUGCACUUCUCACGUAUGUCGCCCAUCCAGUGCUAAUGUUAUUGUUUUAUAAAGGUCCACCUGGGUGUUGCUGCUGGCUGCGCGCUGUGUGCCGCGCUGUGUGCCGCGCUGUGUGCCGCUCACUGUCCGCCGCUGGUCGCUCUCGGGGAGCGUGAUUCCUCCGUCCCACGCUGUGUUGGCCGGGAUCGCCUGAUCGGUGCUGAGCCUACGGUGGUGGAUUGGUGUCCUGGUCACGGUGUCCCCUUUUUGUUGUGUUAGCACUUUGUAGCUUCUUUGUUUUGUUUACUUUUAUUUGCUUCACGUGUGGUGUUCCUGGGAUCCCCUUUUCUUUUGGAUACGGUUUAUCGCUGUAGGUCUCAGCACUGAUUGGUUCCCCUUAUAUGUCCCCUUACGUGAGUAAUUCUUUUAUAUUUUUUUUAAAAUAGAAAUUUGUGUAAAUAAAAGUGUUUUUGUAUUAUUGAA